CACGUAGGGCGCAAGCGUUGUCCGGAAUUAUUGGGCGUAAAGAGCUCGUAGGCGGUCUGUUGCGUCCGCUGUGAAAACUCGGGGCUUAACCCCGAGCCUGCAGUGGAUACGGGCAGACUAGAGGUAGGUAGGGGAGAAUGGAAUUCCUGGUGUAGCGGUGAAAUGCGCAGAUAUCAGGAAGAACACCCGUGGCGAAGGCGGCUCUCUGGAACGCAACUGACGCUGAGACGCGAAAGCGUGGGGAGCAAACAGG
rnacentral:rRNA from 1 species